rnacentral:rRNA from 1 species
UACGAAGGGGGCUAGCGUUGCUCGGAAUCACUGGGCGUAAAGCGCACGUAGGCGGCUUACUAAGUCAGGGGUGAAAUCCUGGAGCUCAACUCCAGAACUGCCUUUGAUACUGGUGAGCUUGAGUCCGGAAGAGGUGAGUGAAACUGCGAGUGUAGAGGUGAAAUUCGUAGAUAUUCGCAAGAACACCAGUGGCGAAGGCGGCUCACUGGUCCGGUACUGACGCUGAGGUGCGAAAGCGUGGGGAGCAAACAGG